rnacentral:rRNA from 1 species
UGAGGAACUUGUCCCGGUCUCUGGGAUAACAGUUGGAAACGACUGCUAAUACCGGAUGACGUCGGAACUUCGCAUGGAGUACUGACGAAAGGGUUACUGGAUCGGGAGAGCCUCGCGGCCUAUCAGCUUGUUGGUGGGGUAAUGGCCUACCAAGGCAUCGACGGGUAGCUGGUCUGAGAGGAUGAUCAGCCACACUGGGACUGAGACACGGCCCAGACUCCUACGAGAGG